GAGGGUAUAGCUCAGUGGUAGAGCACACGCUUAGCAUGCACGAGGUCCUGGGUUCAAUCCCCAGUACCUCCA
rnacentral:tRNA from 1 species